GCUGUUUCUCAGAGUUUGAUGGACUUGGUUUAUGGCCUUUGUUUCGUCUGCUUUGUAUUGCAUCCAGAAAAUCCCACAGCAGCAAGCUCUACAGUGUAACCUGUGUAGGCAAAAAAGCUCCUGCUCAAGCCUACUGCCAUGAAUUUUCUGGACAAAUGUGUUUAUAUACUUUCUGACGAGAGAAAUUUUUCCCUUCAAUUACACCAUUAUGAUUUAGAAGAAGGAACCAGCCAACGGAGCUUUAUUCUUGAUGGAGCCUCUGCUCACCUGGGAUAUGUUGCUGGCUGCACUUAUUCUAGAAUGUGAAUCCCAGAAAUAUUCUUGGGAAGAAUUGUCCCUUGCUUUUCUCUAUGAAGAGAAUGUGGCAGCACUGCUGAACAGGGAGCAGUGCCCAGCACAGUGGACAGUUGUGCCACCUGCCAGAGGGACCUGGAUGGGCUGGAGAAAUGGGCCAACAGAAGCCUCAUGAGGAGCAACAAAAGGAAAUGCCAAGUGCAGCCCCGGAGAGGCACAGCCCCAUGGCACAGCACGGACUGGGGGUGAUCAGCUGGAAAACAGAAUUGCAGAAAAGGACCUGGGGUUUCUGGUGAACAAGUUGAAGAUGAGCCAGCAAUGGGCUCUGGCUGCAAAGACCAACACAACAGCAUUCUGGGCUGCACUAGGAAGUAUGGUUGUGUUUGAGGGUCCCAGG